GGAGAGAGGACUGGAACUUGGAGGGGGUGUUGCUGAGAAUUGAAAGACCAGAGAGCUGGAGGAAGGGAAACUCCCCCCCGCAGUAUCAAAGACCCAGGGCUGCUGACCUGCUUCCUGAACCUGAGCCUGAAAUCUGAUUCUGUUGAGAUCUAAUCAGCUGUGUACACCAGAAUGCAGAACAAGAACCUCGAAACAGGGGUGGGGGAGACAGGCUGGUUCCUACAACAACAAGGCAACAACAACUGACUGACAACUUCUGGCAGCACUGGCACUCUUUGCUACAGUGCCCUCUACCCUUCAAGCAAAGCCAGGGAAACUCCCCCCACCCCUUAAAAUAAUAGCUUGUAAUUCCAACAGAGGCCU